rnacentral:rRNA from 1 species
UACGAAGGGUGCAAGCGUUACUCGGAAUUACUGGGCGUAAAGCGUGCGUAGGCGGUUUGUUAAGUCCGCUGUGAAAGCCCUGGGCUCAACCUGGGAAUUGCAGUGGAUACUGGCAAGCUAGAGUGCGGUAGAGGAUGGUGGAAUUCCCGGUGUAGUGGUGGAAUGCGUAGAUAUCGGGAGGAACACCAGUGGCGAAGGCGGUUACCUGGAGCUUUGCUGACGCUGAUGCGCGAAAGCGUGGGGAGCGAUCCGG